rnacentral:rRNA from 1 species
UACAGAGGUCUCAAGCGUUGUUCGGAUUCAUUGGGCGUAAAGGGUGCGUAGGCGGCGCGGUAAGUCGGGUGUGAAAUCUCGGAGCUUAACUCCGAAACUGCAUUCGAUACUGCCGUGCUUGAGGACUGGAGAGGAGACUGGAAUUUACGGUGUAGCAGUGAAAUGCGUAGAUAUCGUGAGGAACACCAGAGGCGAAGGCGGCUACCUGGACAAUUGCUGACGCUCAGGCACGAAAGCGUGGGGAGCAAAAGGG